ACCCUAUAUUAUGCAUAAUACUUAAGUCGCGCGCAAUGAUCGAAUAUACGAUUUAAUGAUAUUCCCUUUUUAUAAAAGGUUGUUCUUCUCAGUCUCAGAAUCAAGAUUUUGAUUUAACAACGAAAUACUGUGAUUUCAAAUUCUAUUUACUUCUCGAUCUUAGCCGAAAUAAUUGGCAUCGAUCUAUCAAUAAUAAUUGAAUUCUCUUCUCGAACUUAUCAAGUUCUAACUAAUAUUCGUCUAGCCAGAAU
rnacentral:lncRNA from 1 species